CGAUAACGAACGAGACCUUAACCUGCUAAAUAGUUAGGCCAACGUUUGUUGGUCGUCAACUUCUUAGAGGGACUAUUGACUAUUAGUCAAUGGAAGUUUGAGGCAAUAACAGGUCUGUGAUGCCCUUAGAUGUUCUGGGCCGCACGCGCGCUACACUGAUCAAGUCAACGAGUUUACAACCUUGGCCGGAAGGUCUGGGUAAUCUUUUGAAACUUGAUCGUGCUGGGGAUAGUCCAUUGCAAUUAUUGGACUUCAACGAGGAAUUCCUAGUAAGCGUGAGUCAUCAGCUCGCGUUGAUUACGUCCCUGCCCUUUGUACACACCGCCCGUCGCUACUACCGAUUGAAUG
rnacentral:rRNA from 1 species